rnacentral:rRNA from 1 species
GAUAUGAACUCUCCGAAAAGAUUACGCUGUUAUCCCUAAGGUAAGUUAAUCUUAUAAUCAAAAAUUCUGGAUCAAAAAUACAUAAAUUAAUGAAAAGAAAUAUUAAAAGUUAAAUAAAUUUUAAUGUCACCCCAACAAAACUUUAUAUUCUAAAAAAUUAUUUAAUAAACAAAAAAUAAAAAUUAAUAAAUAAAGUAAACUUCUAUAGGGUCUUCUCGUCCUAUAGAAAAAUUUUAGCUUUUUAACUAAAAAAUUAAAUUCAAAAUAAUUAAAAAAAGAAAGAUUAUUUUUCAUGAAACCAUUCAUACUAGCCUUCAAUUAAAAGACAAAUGAUUAUGCUACCUUCGUACAGUUAAAAUACCGCAGCCUUUUAAUUCUAAAAAAUCAAUGGGCAGGCCUGAUCUUAAAUUACAAUCAAAAGACC